rnacentral:lncRNA from 1 species
UGCUGCAGCAGUGAGGAUACUAUUAAAAAUUAACCCCGGGAAAUGGUCCCACAUAUUUUUUUCAUUCAGACGCAGACAAGGGGGAAGAGGAGAGUUGAAAUGGGAUUUGCAGAAAAGGCAAGUGUGGGAAAAUCCAGGAAUGAAAGGUCUUUCCUUGGACUGUGAAGGAAGUGAAUGAAGGUGCAGUAACAGAAAAAUAAAUUCAAUUUGCAGACUCCUGUCA